GGCCUCGUGGCCCAAUGGCAAGGCGUCUGACUACGAUGGAGUGCUCGACUUCAGAAGCAAUCAGGAGAUUCUGGGUUCGACCCCCAGCGAGGUCA